rnacentral:lncRNA from 1 species
UCAUAUAUGUCCCUGCAGACAUAAUGAAUGAUAAAUAUAUUUAUAUAAAGUUCAACUUUCAUAUAUUAUUUCUAUAAAAAUUCUAAUAUUUUUAAAUAUGUCUCCACUGUUAGAAUUCGUUAUAAAAAUUUAGUUAAUCAUAGAUUAAAUACUUAACUCUGGUUAAUUUUUGACAUUUUUACCUCUCUUAUAUUAUACUGUUAUGACUUUUGAAGGGACAUUUGUGAUGGCAAAAUUGAAAAUAUGAGUUGAGCUAAAAUACUAUCGAUUGCAAACGGACUCCGUUGGCAUUCAUUUGUUUUCGAUGAUAGGGCCUCUAAAUCGACGAUCGGCACCGUUGAACAUGAUCUAUACCAUUUGAAGUGUUUAGAAAUCAAAUUUUAUACAUUUUCGAUAUUAUUCUCUUAUCCAUCGAGUGGACACAAAAAUGAACGGCUGAAAAUGAAUAUUCUUUAAAAAAUGAUGAUAGGAGUCUUGUAAUCAAGAUCAAGAAUAUAGAUCUUGUUUUAAAUAGUUUAAAGAAUUUUCUAACAAAAAUUCAAUUGAUUUGGAUAUCUUUACGCCGUUAAACGAGAAAAUGCCUCAUAUCGACCAUUAAAAUUAUAAAUUUUGAAACCAUUUGAUCAUUAGGCAAAUAAUGUCGAAAAGAUUUGAAAUUUGAUUUCUAAACAUUUCAAGUGGUGUAGAUCAUGUUCAACGGUGCCGAUCGUCGAUUUGGAGACUUCAUCAUCGAAAAUAAAUGGGUGGCAACGGAGCCCGUUUGCUAUCGAUAGUAUUCUAGCUCAACUCUUGAAAAUAUAAACGGUUUUCUAAUGAUUCUGUAACGGUAACAAAUUAGAGAGACAUAUUUGAAAAUAUUAGACUUUUACAGAAAGAACAUAUGAAAGUAAAACUUUAUAGAGAUAUAUUUGCUAUUUACUAUAUUUACAGGAACCCGCAUGAAAUUAAUCUUAUAGUUUAAUUAUUAAAUUGUCAUAAAC